GGUCCUAUGUGCGAGUGGUUAGCAACUAGUCUGCAAAACUAGGAACGUCGGUUCGAAUCCGACUAGGACCUCA
rnacentral:tRNA from 1 species